AUACGGAGGGUGCGAGCGUUAAUCGGAAUUACUGGGCGUAAAGCGUACGUAGGCGGUUCGUUAAGUUAGAUGUGAAAGCCCCGGGCUUAACCUGGGAACUGCAUUUAAAACUGGCGGACUAGAGUUGAGUAGAGGGGAGUGGAAUUUCAGGUGUAGCGGUGAAAUGCGUAGAGAUCUGAAGGAACACCAGUGGCGAAGGCGACUCCCUGGACUCGAACUGACGCUGAGGUACGAAAGCGUGGGUAGCAAACGGGAUUAGAAACCCGGGUAGUCC
rnacentral:rRNA from 1 species